rnacentral:rRNA from 1 species
UACGUAGGGGGCAAGCGUUGUCCGGAUUUAUUGGGCGUAAAGAGCGUGUAGGCGGCCAGACAGGUCUGCUGUGAAAACUCGAGGCUCAACCUCGAGACGCCGGUGGAAACCGUAAGGCUAGAGUCCGGAAGAGGAGAGUGGAAUUCCUGGUGUAGCGGUGAAAUGCGCAGAUAUCAGGAAGAACACCCGUGGCGAAGGCGGCUCUCUGGGACGGUACUGACGCUGAGACGCGAAAGCGUGGGGAGCGAACAGG